rnacentral:misc_RNA from 1 species
GCAUAAUCAAUCUUUCUCCUCAAGCUAAGAGAGUACUUAAAUAUUUUAAUGUAGCACAAGCCAUAAGGACAGAUGCAACCAUACGAAAUCCUAGUUGGUGUAUGUUGGGUGUAUAUGUUACAACUGGAAAGAAAGAAAAGGAAAGUAAGGAAAAUUAAUAGCAAGUUAAGUGAGCGUUGAGUGACUUGUGUCUCUCAUUCAAUCCUCUCAUCUGCCUCCUUCAUUGCUGAUCGGUCCCCUUGCCUUUAUAUCUCCACCCUCCCUAGUCCUCCCCCAUCCCUCCUCAGUAUCCUCUCCUAAUAACAUCUCAUCUCUCUCUCUCUCAAGCAACAAACAAUUUUCUGUUUCUCAUUGGUGAAAAAUGCCUCAAAUAUUGCCUGAUUUCUCCAACUCUGUUAAGCUCAAGUAUGUCAAGCUUGGGUAUCAGUAUCUUGUUAAUCACAUUCUUUAUCUUUUGUUGAUACCUGUCAUGGUUGGUAUUUCCAUUGAGGUUAUUCGUUUAGGCCCUGAUGAAAUGUUGAACCUUUGGAAAUCACUUCAUUUUGAUCUUGUCCAGAUUCUUUGCUCUUCUUUCUUAAUCAUCUUUAUUGCUACUGUUUACUUCAUGUCCAAGCCAAGAACAAUCUAUCUUGUGGAUUAUGCCUGCUACAAACCUCCAUUCACUUGCCGGGUUCCCUUCUCCACCUUCAUGGAGCACUCCAGGCUUAUUUUGAAAAAUAACCCAAAGAGCGUUGAGUUCCAGAUGAGGAUUCUUGAAAGGUCCGGGCUUGGAGAAGAGACUUGCUUGCCUCCUGCAAUUCAUUAUAUCCCUCCAAAGCCAAAUAUGGAGGCUGCAAGGGGAGAAGCUGAGCUUGUUAUCUUCUCUGCCAUGGAUUCUCUCUUCCAGAAAACGGGGCUCAAACCUAAAGACAUUGAUAUUCUCAUCGUGAACUGCAGUCUCUUCUCUCCAACACCAUCUCUUUCUGCCAUGAUCAUUAAUAAAUACAAGCUCAGAAGCAACAUAAAGAGCUUUAAUCUUUCCGGCAUGGGUUGCAGUGCAGGGCUAAUCUCCAUCGACUUAGCUCGCGAUCUUCUCCAAGUGCAUCCAAAUUCAAAUGCAGUUGUGGUUAGCACAGAGAUUAUAACGCCAAACUACUACCAAGGAAACGAGCGAGCUAUGCUUCUUCCAAAUUGCCUUUUUCGCAUGGGCGGUGCAGCAAUUCUCUUAUCGAACCGCAGGUCUCAGAGCUGGAGAGCCAAGUACCGUCUAGUCCACGUGGUCCGAACCCACAAAGGAGCAGACGACAAAGCUUACCGCUGUGUGUUUGAAGAGGAAGAUAAAGAAGGGAAAGUAGGGAUCAAUCUGUCAAAAGAUUUGAUGGCCAUAGCUGGUGAAGCCUUAAAAUCAAACAUCACAACUAUUGGGCCUCUAGUCCUUCCAGCAUCUGAACAGAUCCUGUUUUUGUUCACUCUCAUUGGCAGAAAAAUCUUUAACCCGAAGUGGAAGCCAUAUAUUCCCGAUUUCAAGCAGGCUUUUGAGCAUUUCUGCAUCCACGCAGGUGGGCGUGCUGUUAUAGAUGAACUGCAAAAGAACUUGCAGCUAUCUGCAGAGCACGUUGAGGCUUCAAGAAUGACGCUACACCGUUUCGGGAAUACCUCAUCUUCUUCGCUUUGGUAUGAACUAAAUUAUAUCGAGUCUAAGGGAAGGAUGAAGAGAGGAGAUAGGGUUUGGCAGAUAGCAUUUGGAAGUGGAUUCAAGUGUAAUAGUGCGGUUUGGAAGUGUAAUAGAAGUAUAAAGACACCAGUAGAUGGACCUUGGUCUGAUUGCAUUGAUAGGUAUCCAGUUCAUAUUCCUGAAGUUGUCAAGCUCUAAGCUUCAAGACUUCUAUAAUUUGGUGGGAUUUGGUUUUUCUUCUUGUUUGCAUACUCAAAAGUCUGGGAUUUGCAUUCACUCUCUUCUUCUUGUAUUCUCUGUUUGCUCUUUCAUCUCAAUUUCCAAUUCCACGCUUUGUAUUAAUUAUCUCAUUAUCACCCUUUUUCUUUAUAUAUAGUAUAUAGUAUAUAUAUAUAUAUAAAUAUUUUGUUUUCUUAUGAAUUUGCAUAUCGACAUUUUUGUUUUUUCCUUUCUUUUUGGGGAAAAAAAGGUAAUUUUCAUCGGCAUGUAAUUAAUUUGUGUGAAUUUAUAGCUAAAUGUAUAUUUAUGAGGGAAAGUUUCGCUUGGGUUGAUCCCGAUGUCACUUGGACGUGAUAAAAGGAAAAAUAAAAUCACUGAAUUAAUUAGUUGCAAUUUCAGCUGGCAAUUAAAGCUUACAUUUAUUAG